AUUGAACGCUGGCGGCAGGCUUAACACAUGCAAGUCGAGCGAGCGGCGGAUGGGUGAGUAAUGUCUGGGAAACUGCCUGAUGGAGGGGGAUAACUACUGGAAACGGUAGCUAAUACCGCAUACCAUCAGAUGUGCCCAGAUGGGAUUAGCUAGUAGGUGGGGUAAUGGCUCACCUAGGCGACGAUCCCUAGCGGGUCUGAGAGGAUGACCAGCCACACUGGAACUGAGACACGGCCCAGACUCCUACGGGAGGCAGCAGUGGGGAAUAUUGCACAAGGGGCGAAAGCCUGAUGCAGCAAUGCCGCGUGUGUGAAGAAGGUCUUCGGGUUGUAAAGUACUGUCAGCGAAGAGGCGUUACUCAAAGAGGAAGCCCCGGCUAACUCCGUGCCAGCAGCCGCGGUAAUAC
rnacentral:rRNA from 1 species